CAAAUAGAGAAGUAAAGAAGAAAGUACAUCGAGUAGGUCCUCGGGUUACAUUGGAGAUCUGUUCCUACAGUGCGAAGUGAAGCAAUUUUUGCCAGUCUCAGAUUUGGUAUUCCUGGCCUCCCACCCCUUCAGCCUGCAUUUUCCUGGACAUUUUAUUAUUUUCUGGGUUUGCCCAAACUGGACGUGGUCAAUGUAAACAUCUGCUUAC